rnacentral:lncRNA from 1 species
UUCUACCAAAUUCCAUCUAAGGUAGUCUAUUUAGCUGACUCAAUCCUUAUAGCUGCCUGUAUGGUAUUUAGUACUUGAUUUCCUAACUAAUUGAAAUCCUUGUUAGCACUCUUCUCAUGUGAGGCACUCCACAAGAAACUCCACAAGAAAUUCCUAGGUGCACCGAGAAGGACUAGUUCUUCUUUGUUUCUGAACAUGGUGGUCCUUCGGGUAGAGAGUCCUAAGAUUUCAUUAAUGCAACAUCAGGUUCGAAAUUGCUUCAUGCACGAUUCUCCUGGCCGACGCAUGCACGACACAGAAAUUCAACGGCUGGUGCCUGAUGUAUGCACGCAUGUGUGGCCGGAUUUUAAACAUCGUCUAUGAGUCGUCCAUUUUUGUCGUGUGUAUAGCAUAGCUCCAUCAGGUUAUGUCUCCUGUUAUUAUGCAAAAUACAAUGUUGUGUAUGUUGUCAUAGAAGCCAAUUUGGAUAUGUAAAUCUUGCUUUUUCCUGAGUAUAUACGAGAUUUCAUUGAUUAUGGACUAAUAUAUGG